AUCAAAUGACUCUCGGCAACGGAUAUCUCGGCUCUUGCAUCGAUGAAGAACGUAGCGAAAUGCGAUACUUGGUGUGAAUUGCAGAAUCCCGUGAACCAUCGAGUCUUUGAACGCAAGUUGCGCCUGAAGCCAUCAGGUUGAAGGCACGUCUGCCUGGGCGUCACGCA
rnacentral:rRNA from 1 species